rnacentral:rRNA from 1 species
CCUACGGGAGGCAGCAGUAGGGAAUUUUGCGCAAUGGACGAAAGUCUGACGCAGCAACACCGUGUGAGGGAUGAAGCAUUUCGGUGUGUAAACCUCUGUCGAUGAUGAAUAAAGCAUGUGGGAGUGGAAAGCCCAUGUGUUGAAGGUAAUCAUGAAGGAAGCACCGGCUAACUCUGUGCCAGCAGCCGCGGUAAU